UUCUAAUGUUAAUGUUAGUUGUUAUGAAUUGUGACAUUACUAUGCCGAACGUUUUGCCAAAUGUUUAAAUUUUGGCAUAAUUUGGCCUAUUAUGCCAUAGUAUGUCUUAAUAUUUUCAUAUUGUGCCCCGAUUUUUGCCAUAAUUUGACAUAAUUUUUUGCCAUAGUUUGGCUUAAUUUUUAGUUGCACUGGUGAUACAAUUCUUUCAUACAUACAAUUUUGCCAAAACCUUUAAAACAUUUCCAUAAAACAUUGUUCCACCCACGAUAGUUUUACAAAUAUGACACUAGGUUGAUACAAUACCAAAAUAACAUGUAUUCAUGACCGUAGAAAAAAAAACCAAACCUACCAAAUGUUAUCAAAAUAUUACAAAAUUCAAGAUGCGUCAAACUGAAUCUUUAUUGAGAUAAGCAUGUGCAAAAUUCAACUUUUCAUUAUCUUAACAUUGUCACCAAUUUUGGAAUCUUCAUGUUGGAUCAGUAAAAGUGUGAUUCGCUAUCGCAUACAGGUCAAAAACGAAUUUAUAAGGGUAGUAUAUGGAAGUGACACUCGAGUCGUAUUGCAAAGAUUCUUGACUUAAAUUAACCAAACGAUUGGAACAAUUGAGGGUUUUGAUUUUUGAUUAAGAGAUGAUAACGAAUUUGAUUGUAAUUACGAUUAACAAACUAAUCUGCUGAUUCGAUCUCUACUUAUCAUCGAUUAUUACAAUUUCAAAUCCCUAAGCGAGUCCUAUUUCCUUUUCAAUUAUAAUAUCUAUCAAACAAGUGAAAUCAAUAUUAUCUGACUUAUGUUCCGAUUUGCCGAAUUAAGCAUCUGGUUAAAAACGACGCAGAAAAGACGCAAAAGCUACGCUAAACGCGGUUACAGUAAGAAACCUAAAUAAAUUGAAACAAAACAAUUCUACUAUAUAAGAAAUCAAAUUAAGCAAACGAGAUUCAACAUAGACAGAACUGAACGAAAAAAGAAUUUGAAUUGCAAAAUUUUAAUAAUCUCAAAGUUUUGAACUUGGAUACAGCAUAUCGGCUCCAUGUAAAGCGUACAACGCUCUUAUUUUUCGUGAAAACUCAGAAUGCCAUAACAAGAACACUAUAUUUUAGUUUAAAUAUUAUAAUAGAAACCAGACCCUAAUAGCAACCGACCCGAAAAACAUAAAAUUUGGUCCAAAACUUAUUAUUUUACUAGAUCUGGAGAUAAAACAAACCAUUCGAACCUUAUGCAUUCCAAAUCAUCUUUUGACUUGAACACGAAACUUGUAGCUUAUCCUCUCAACUUUCUAAUGCAGAUUAGAACGCGUCAAUCCUAUUUUCGUAGCUCACAUUAUGACAUGCAGAUAGAGAAUGUGUCAAAUUACUGCUUAGUCACAAAAUAAAUAAUCAAAUUAAAAUAAAAACAUAAAUAAACUAAACUUAGAAAACACACUCAAAACAGUAAAAUAAAAGCAACAAAUCAUAAAAAAUUCCUUAGCACAAAGCUAUAUGUGGCGUAUUAAAAUACAUUAAUCAAAUUUCCCCACACUUAAACUUUUGCACUCCGAACAAAACUCUAAAGUCAAAAUUCAAAAUAGAGUAAAAACAAGAACAAAACAAAGAAUACAAUUUCGAAGAUUUUCGGGAUAAAAAAGGUAAGUAAAAUCCUUAUUCUAAGCUUCAAGUAAUAUGAUGUUAGUGAGCAGCUUUUUGUGACAGUCAAAACAAAUAAGAAUACAGUUUACCCGAGAGUACAUCAUAAGCAACAAUAUCCUCACAAGAUAAAGUUUUCUCAACUCUAAGUAUUCAGGUUAACUGUUUACACUCAAAGCACAUCAAAAAAAUUAGCACUACCAUAAGCUUGAAAAGACUCUAACAUUCACACUUGAAUUACAUGCACACAAAUCAAAAGUGCUUUAUUCAGAUUAUAACGUGACCAAGAUAAAUGUAAGAUAAUCCUAAGGGGUACAAGACUAAAAUUUAAAGGAACUAAAAAGAACUGAAAGGGAUUUUAGGAGUUGAACUAAACAAUAUUUAUUCAUUUUCCAUCAACAUCACUUAGUGCAGCCAAUUUCUCUUAUCUUUGAUUUUUUACUUUUCUUUCUUUUUUUGGAAGGAAUAUGAUAAGAACAUGAAUAUUCUUCCUUUUAUUCUUUUCUUUAAUUUUUUUUCUGGCAACUUUGAAACAUCAAACUUAUGCUAAUUCAACCUCGCACAAAUCCAAACAAGACUCUUUCAUCCCCUUAAAUAAGGUGAUAUAAUUGUUUUUCACUUUUAUGCUUGUAAUGAGUUUCAACCAAAGAAUGAGAUAAAUAGGCUCAAAGGGAUUUCAAACAAGAGACAAUAUUUUUAAGAUUGUCUUUUUGGCUAACUGACUAAAAAUAAAAUAGAAACAACUUGCUUUUAUUAUAUCAGUGUGCACAAGUAAUCAAAUAGUUUUAAAAAGAGUCGGAUUAAGUUAUAGAGACUUACAAAUAUGAGUGAAAUCACAUAAGAAAUAAAAAGAUGAAUUUUUUGAAUGUUAUCCAUUAUUAGACUCAAAAUCUCACAAAAGUUAAUGAUCUACCACAAAUGAUGCAUAAUUCAGAAUUUAGUUCUACUUGUCAUACUAAAAAUGCACAACAAAUCACUCACAUCACACCACGAGUCUUUAUUCAAGAGAAUAAAGAAAAUACUCACACUUGCAACCCAAAAACCAAAGAAAAAAUAUGCAUUGUUUUUUUAAAAGAAGAAACAAGUAAAUGACAAAUAAGAAAACACAAAAAUAAAUUACUCUCUACCCACACUUAAGACACACAUUAUCCUCAAUAAAAGAACAUAAGUAUAAAAUAAGAGAGAGAGAGAGAGAGAGAGAGAGAGAGAGAGAGAGAGAGAGAGAGAGAGAGAGAGAGGAUUAAGACACACAUUAUCCUCAAUAAAAGAACAUAAGUAUAAAAUAAGAGAGAGAGAGAGAGAGAGAGAGAGAGAGAGAGAGAGAGAGAGAGAGAGAGAGAGGGGAAAUAACACACCCGAACAAUCAAGGUAGAUAGACGAUUGCAUAAGCAACAUUUCCCAGAUAGAGCUCUUAUGUAGUCUAUUAUUCAUAGUGGGGUUCUCAUGGAAUAACUUAAGGCGAUGCCCACUGACUUUGAAUUUUUUUAUCAGUACCUCACUUUUUAUUCCUAGAUCAAAGAACAUUUUUCUAUAGGUAAAAAUGUUAAAUGGACAAGUAAAAGUGGUUUUCUCGCUGUCCUCUGGUGCAAUAUAAAUCUCAAUUUUCAUAACAUCUAAAUCACGGGGUUAAGCCGCCUUUGGGGCUAUCUAAAUGAUUUUUCUCCAUCCUCAAGUAAGAUUCUAUGCAUACCCAUGAAUGAACUAAUACCAGGAAUAUCAACCAAAGUCCAUCCAAUUACCUUAUUAUGUUUCUUUAAUACUGGCAACACUUUUUAUCCAUGUUCAGAUUCCAGUUUAGAUAAAAAAUUUACAGGCAGAUUUUCUUAAAAUUCCAAAUAUGCGUAAUUAAAUUUAAAGAGAGUGACUUAAGAUCUAAAGCAAAUGAUUUCUCAAUGGAUGACAAAAUUUUGGCAGCAGAAACUAUAUUUACAUCUGCAACAUCAACUUUGUCAUUAGAAAUAUCAUAAGAAAUAUCACAUAUAAGGCAACUUCAAUAUCAACACAAACUGAACAUAGGUGAGUAUCAGUACAAACAUCACACAUAUAAGUGUCAUCAAAAUCAACACAAAGAAGGGAAAUAAGGAAAAAGUAAAUAAGGUGUAACAAGUUCUCUUAAGGUUCUUUGUUCAGCCAUGUUAUGAUAAUUAAACUCAAAAUCAUAAUCAAACAAAUUAUGAUAGAAUACAAAAUCAGAAUCACUAUCGCUAAUGGGUGCACUAGUAGUCAUGCAUCAUGAGCCAGCAAUGCAACAAAUAUAAAAAUAUCAAUAAUGUCUUUAAAGAGAAAAACAUUUGGAAAAAUGGAAAACGAUUAAAAUAAAAUAUAUAAAAAUAUAUGGAAAUAUCACUAAUAAUCAAAUAAAAUUAAAAUAAGACUCUACAAAUAUUUUCUAAAAUAUGGAAAAAGAAAAUAAAUCAAAUAAAAUAGAAAAACAAGGAAUUUGUGAUAUUAAGGGUCAAAUUCACUUUAAAAAAAUUUAAGUGAGUACUGUUUGUUGAAUUAUUUCUUAAAUUAUGGAAAAAAAAUCGGAGCAAUUCGAAACAGUAGCUUGUAGAGUGUUAUUUGAUAGGCUGAAAUAAUUAUUACUAUACUACAACCCUGAAAAUCAUCAAACACAAAAAACAAAAAACAAAAAAAAUGCUAACAAGACUCUAAUCUAAGAUUCUAACGUUAGUUAAUAUUAUCAAAGAGUCUCCGACAACGACGUCAAUUUAAUAUGUUGUCCCAUAAGUAAAAAACUAGCUUAUAAGGGUAGUAUAUGGAAGUGACACUCGAGUCGUAUCGCAAGGACUCUUGAAUUAAAUUAACCAACUGAUUGGAACAACACAAGGUUUUGAUUUUCGAUUAAGAGAUGAUAAAUGAUUAAACGAAUUUGAUUGCAAUUACAAUUAACAAAUUAAUCUACUAAUUUGGUUUCUACUUAUCAUCGAUUAUUAUAAUUCCAAAUCCCUAAGCAGGUCCUAUUUCCUUUUCGCCUAUAAUAUCGAUCAAACAAGCGUAAUCAAUAUUAUCUAACUUAUGUUCCUAUUUUCCGAAUUAAGCAUUUGGUUAAAAACAACGCGGAAAAGACGCAAAAGCUACGUUAAACGCGAUUACGUUAAGAAACCUAAAUCAAUCAAAACAAAUCAAUUCUACUCUAUAAGAAAUCGAAUUAAGUAAACGAGAUUCAACAUAGACAGAUCUAGAUGAAAAAAGAAUUUGAAUUACAAAAUUAUAAUAAUCCCAAAGUUUUGGAACCUGAAUACAGCAGAUCAACCAAAAUGAUUAGUUCUCCAUGAAAAUCAUACAAAUCUCUUAUUUUUCGUGAAAACUCAGAAUACCCUAGCAGUAGGACUGUAUUUUAGUUUAAAUAUUAUAUAGAAACCGGGUCCUAAUAGCAACCAACCCGAAAAACAUAAAAUUCGGCCAAAAACUUAUUAUUUUACUAAGUCUGAAGAUGAAACGAAUUAUUUGACUCUUCUUCACUCUGAAUCAACGUUUGACUUUAACAUAAAACUUGUAGCUUAUCCUCUCAGAUUUUCAACACAUAUUAGAACGUGUCAAUCCGAUUCUUGUAGCUCGCGUUAUGACUUGAAGAGUGAGAAGGUGUCAAAUUACCGCUUAUUCACAAAAUAAAUAAUUGAAUUAAAAUAAAAACAUAAAUAAGCUAAACUUAGAAAACACACUUAAAACAGUAAAAUAAAAGCAACAACUCAUAAAAAAAUCUCUUAGCCCAAAGUUAAAUGUGGUGUAUUAAAAUACACUGAUCAAAGUGCAUGAGCUAUCAUACCUUCAUCAUCAAUCAGAACGGUAUCUUCAACAUAUUUUCUAGGGCCCACUAUGUCAAGUGUUUUGAACUUCAUAAGGAUUUCACUCUUUUUUCUGUGAAGGGUAACAUCAUUAGUCUUUUUUUGUAAUCAUACUCUUCACCUAUUAUGAUAAAAUAAGAGUUAUUAAAAUAAUUUAUGUUUCUAACACUUAAUGAAUGAAUUCACAAGAUUUACUAAAUUACAACUUACAGGAUCACUUAUACUUGGCUUAUUUGAAGCUAUUUUGACAACUCAUGGUGGUUUGAGUGCAUUCGGCUUGACUACUUUAGGUCUUACAUCAAUGAAGGUUCUAACACCACUUGACUUGGAAUAACUUGGCAUAAGAUUAUGGGUUGGUUUGACAAGAGGGUUUGUUUGACAGAAGGAACUUGUUUGAAAGUAAAGGAUUGUUUGAUAGGAUGGGUGGGUUGACAGGACUUGUAUAAAUACUAAUAGGAUGAAUGUCAAAUAUGGAAUCUUUCGAAUGUCUUCAUCAUUUAAUAAUGUUGUUAAAGUCUCAGGGAGAAUCUCAGAAAACUUGUGCAACCCAAAGUCUUGAUCAACAAACACUUGUGGAGGUGCUUGAGAAUUAUCAGGAGGUGCUUGAGUAUGCUCAACAAGUGCUUGAGUAUGCUCAAUAGGUGCUUGAGUGUGUUUAGCGGGUCCACAAAACCCUUUUUCUUUUUUAGUGAAACUGUUGAAUUUUUAAGAUGAAAUGCAUGGUUGUAAACCCUUUUUUCCCUCAAUGCAACUAAAACCUUCUUACUUGUACUAUUAUUCAAAGACCCUUUAGGCCUCCCCAAUAAAUAAAAUGUUAAUACAUAAUUAUGAAGUACACUUAGAUAAUAGACAAUUCCAAAACCUAAACCUUUUCUUUCGUGUUGUUUGCACAUUUGUAGUUUGGCUUGCCUAUGUAGGUGGUUCAGGAGGCACAUGUUCAUAUGGUGUAUUUUCAUAUGGGAUGAUUUCAAGCAGUGAACAAUUAACAAUUUUAUUUUUGGCCUUUUUGAAUGUCUUACUAUUGUUCCCUUAUUCUAAGAAUUUCUUGCACAUGUGACUUGUAUUUGAUCUUCACCACCCUGUUUGGUUUGCUUCAUAUGGUUCCCUUCUACAAAGUUUAUUUGUCCUUCUUGAUCUAUGCUUUUAGAUUUGAGGCAAUAUUACAAGAUUAAUGGUUUUAGGGCAUUUGUUUUUCUCAUUUAAAAUGGUGUCUGCUUCAUCAUAACAUUUCACAUAUGUUUCAUGUGAUAGAAUUUAUGGAUAUACUUAAUGAAAUCAUUAAUUUUCCUAGUGAUUGCAUCUACACCACGUCUACAAGGUACCCCAAGCAAGUCCCAAAAGUUACAUGGACAUGUGUACUUUGCCAAGUUAACGACAAAGUUAUCAGUGAACAACACCCGUGUCACUUGGACUGUUAAUCUCCUUGCAUAUGUUGCAGUCCAACUAGCACUUUUUCUAUCUCUAUAUCUAAUCUCCUAAGUAGUUUAGACAUUAUCUAUCCUUUAGACACAUCUACCUUUUCCCUAAGCAUGGCAAACCUACCCAUAAGAUAGUUUCCCAUCCAUUCAAACAUGGUUAAAAUGGGUUUCUCCCUUUGUAACAAGAUAUUUGCAUUGAAAGAUUCACUAAGAUUGUUCAUCAGCGCAUCAUACUUAGAAUAAAAAGAAAGUCCAUGCUUACACCAUUUUUGUUUGGGAAUAACUUCUAACCAUUUAUAAGCCUUUAAACUCACCUCCUUUAGUUACAGCAUCUUAACUGCAUGUGCUUCAUAGUAGGCUUCCUUGGUUGUAGACAUCAUAAGAUCCAUAAACAAAGUACAACCUUUAACCUUCUUAAAGUUAGUAUACAAUUCUAAGACAAAACCUCUAUUCAUAUUUAGGGUAUUUCUCCUCAAAUACUUACACCAAGCCCUUCAACAAUAACACAAUUGUAGUUAACUUAAAUAAGAAAAUUAAUGAAACAAUAACAUAGUUACUAAGACAUGCAUUUUGCUUGUCACAAAUGAAACACCACUUAGAAUCACCAAGGUAUUAAAUAAGCAGCUUAAUAAACCAAUUAUAGGAGUCUUUAGUUUCAUUCUAAAAAACUCCAAUAGCAAUAUGAAAAUACUGGUCAUUAUGAUCGCUCCUAACAAAAACCAACAACAUUCCACCAUAUUUUUUUAGGUGACAUCCAUCUAAUCCUAUAAAUGGUCUAAAUACCCUUGUCAAAUAUUUUUUUGUCCCAUCAAAAUAUAUUUAAUACCUUUGAAAUCUUGGCUACAAACUUGGUUUUGGACAAUCAAUGUUAAAAUUGAAAUUGUUUCCUGGUGAGACCCUUGUUGUGUGAAUUAUUGAUAUGUGCCAGUAUACACAGUCAAAUAAUAGCAAGUGUUGUAAAAGUAAGAGUAUCGGUACCACGGAGAUUGUGAUAACUUACGUUGAUUCUUUCAUUAAAAUCAUGUGAACAACCAUGAGAAAAAUGGUAACAAUAAUAUUGAGUUGUCACAAAUUCAGGUUGAAAUACAAUAAAUGAUAAGUGAUGAUGAUGAAGUUAAAUCAAUAGAAAGAUGCAUGUUGGGUAAUGAUCCAUCUAAUAAAGUUCAUAGUUUGUGUGUGUCUGAUGAGAUCUGUCAUGAUAAAUGAGGUAGAAAAUGACCUAGUGGUGUAUAUCUAUAACAUAAAAACAUAUGCAAUAAGUUAAGGGAACAACUCUCGAGGCCUCACAAUAAAUUUAAAGUAUGUCUUUUUUCAUAUACUGAUUUCCCCUAUAGUUAUAGUCCUUUAUCUCUAAAGUGACCAAACUACUGAAUAUGCUUAUCCUACUAUUUUCAACCAUAUUUAGUUAUGAAGUUUGUUAGUUAAUGAAUCUCUCAGUCCUUAACCAGCUUUUACCUAUUUCUAAGGUGAUCAAGCAAAGAAACAGAGGUAUAACAUUAUGUCACAUAGUAAAAUGCAUCACUUAAAACCACACCAUAUUAACAUAAAAUACUAACUUUCAUUAAACUUCACAUUGCUCAACAUAAAUAGGUUUAGCUCAUUAUGAGCAAAAAAAAUACAGCAACACAAGUUCUUACAUUAAACAUUUCUAAACACAAACGAAAAGGAAAUAUAAACCUAAGUAUGACACUCUACUCAUUGCAAUCUUUUAAGUAACGGGACUUGAGUUCUGUCACACAAGGAUAUUUAGCACUUCUUUAAUGGAGGGAGAGAGUUGUUGUUGUGUAUUAGAAUCCCCUUAUCCUCUCUUGUUGAUGUAUGAUGCCUUGUAUCAAUGGUCUUAUCCUUAUAAUCUCACGGUGAAUUAACAAAAUUGUUAUAGCCAGUCCCCCAUGAAAUAACUCACUAACCAUUACUCGAAGCUUUCUAUCCCUAGUCCACUAGCGUAAGCAGGGUUAGGAGAUGUAUAGAACGUUAAUUCCCUAUGCCACUACUCGGGGUCUCUUAUCCCUAUUCAACUGACGUAAGUAUAACAGUUGCCUUAGGUCCAACAUAUAUCCUAAGGGUCAGUAAUCCCUAUGUGUCCAAUAUCAGAUUAACAGAGUAUCUCAAAUAAAAAGCAUUAAGAAUAAGCAACAACUGAGUAAAAUUAUAAUUCAAAGGAUUCAUACAAAGUCAAACCAACAUAUAAUGCCAACAAUAUUGAAUAAGGUUCACCAUCACACAGCCUAACCUAGAGGAGCUUUAGCUACUCAUAAUGAAAAUUACAAUACAAAUUUAAUAAAGAAGAAUAGUAUAUGAAUUCCCUUGAAGGAUUGUCCUCCAAUGGCUUUCAAUGCUCUUAAAAUCAUCCUUUGAUGUUGCAAAAUCGUGCUUCUAAUGUAACAACUCAUAGCCCUUGCCAAACUGCUGAAAAUCCCCUUAAAAAGCACUUAGAACUGGUUAGAACGCGUCAGAAAAAGCAUAGAAAACACCCAUCGUGCACAUUAUAAAGCAUCGCGCACGCGGUGUAACUUUUUAAACUCUAUCGCACACGCGAUGACGCACGUGAUUAUUCCAGUAGCUACGUCAAAAUUAACCCCUUUUCACUUGAGUUUUCACUAAGUCCCAUUCUUCCAUACUUUGUUACUUUUCACUCAUUCUUGGGUCUUUGUUCUUCAUUUUGGCUCAUCUUUCGCUCGUUUUUCACUAAUUCUUCGCCUAAUUAUAUGCAAUGACAGACUGUCAUCACAACCCCAAACUUGAAUCUUUGCCUAUCCUCAAGCAAUUCAUCUGUAACUGCAUAUUUCAACAGACAACAAGUCGUACGAUAACAAUUAAACAUCACCAUAUUUUUUCAUUACCUGACCAUUGUUCAAGCUUCCAACUUCUAUCCGGCAAAUUCGAAAAAUGUCCUCAACAUCGACGAGUACUCAACCUGUCUCUCAGCUUACUUUACUCGCUCAAUGGAUAUGGUUAUCACUUAAUCAAUAUGCAAAAUAAAUUAUACUUAGAUUGAUCAUGUUCUAAUAUAGUUUAUCAUAAAAAUCAUAACAUAUAUAAGAGGUAUUUUCAGGUUGUAACUUGGCUUAAGUUCGAGUAGGAUGUUUUUAGGAAAGUAGGUUUAAAACUUUGAAGUUAGGUACCUAGUUCUCCUUAUAUUGUCGUACCAUUUUGUUACUUCUUGUUGGUACUAGAGUUUCGAUCAUUCUUUUUUAUUAUUAUUUUUUGAAGAAGUGACGUUUUCUACUUCUUAUUUUCUCAAUAUUUUUGAAAUUUUGACCACUUAACUCUAGUACCCCAACCCCAGACUUAAAACUUUGCUCACUUCCAAGAGAAACCCCAAACUUAAUCUUUUUUCAUUCAACUUUAAGAAACAAAAUUCUACCUAACUCCAAAGAGAAGGUGUAAAGAAAGAAUCUUUCAAGUCAAAUGGUUAAGAGUUGUAGACUACGUCACCGAAAUAAAGGCUUAGGCUCAAAGUGGUUAGCAAAGGAUGUUUCUAAUACUACAAGGUGGCUACAAAGGCUCAAAGUAAUAAACAAAGAACUUGCCUUAAUGUGUGUCAAUCAAAAUAGAAAACUUAAUUGAAAAUAGAUCAAACAAGAUAAAAUAAAAUUGCACGGAUACACUCUAAGAAAGAAAAAGUGAACAAUGAAAAUAUUUUGGCUCAAACCUUACCAUAUGAGAUAUCUGAAGUUUGAGUACAAAUUCGGUGAUUAUUUUUUGUUCCUUUGCCUUUAAGUUAUUAGUUUCUUUCAUUAUGAUCAAGUCCCUUUUUUUUUCUUGGAUCAUUUGUUCAAUGUUAAAGUUAGAACUUGCAAUCUCAAAAAACAUAAGCAUCUACAAACUUGUUUAUUAAGAACAUAUUUUUGAUAAUAUAAUGUGAAGGAAAAUAGCACUUAGAGUGACUAUUUCUCUUCUCAAGGUACAUUAUUUAAAACUAAAAACAAAGAUAAAAUCACAAAAAUUAAAAAUACACUAUAUGUCUUUUCACAUAUUUCCAUCACGGAAAAUGUUAUGCAUGUUGUACAUAGUGUUGUUGAAGUCGUUGUUUUGUCGAGUCUAUUCGGUGCGCAUGUGGUCUCUUCUUAUUGCUUGCUCAUGAUCUUGGUUGAAGAAGUAUUUAUCCAUCUCUCCAACUUAUGCAAACUGGCCUCUUAAGCAUUGAACCUAUAUAUGGUCUUCUUGUUGAUUGUAGAAGCCUCUGAAUGCUGGAGCGAACUAGGAGGGUUUGCAUACAAAGUGGGUGAAACUUCUUCGGUCCACCUUGUAACCCCUAUGGAAUGCGCUUCCAUCCUUCUAUGAAAUUCUGACAUCAUCUGACCAUGCAUUUAUUGUGGUUGAUUUUGCAUUGGUGUUAGGUUGAAUUCUUCAUCAUUUCCAGCUUGGUUGUCUUCUUGAGCAACUUCUCCUUGAUGCAUGUUUUCUAGCCUCCUUAUGGCCUACGCGUUAAGGGGUGCUGUUAGAAGGAGAGUUUCAUAUUCGGGAUACUCGGGUACACCUGCUCUCCUGCAUAAUUCAUAAAUAACACAAAAAUUCCCACAAGCUCGUUGUGCAACGUUAGCCAUAUAUUUGAUAUUUUCAGCAAUUAAACGCCCCAAAUCAAUAGCCCUUCCCCAUUUAGAAGAGCUAACGGACCUAAACAUCGCUUCAUAAUAAAUUGUGAUUGAUUUGAUGUGGCUUUCAAAGUUUGUACAAAAUAAGAUGCCCAAGUCCUAGGGAUUUGGUGGAAGUCGGUAGUUUUGAGACGGAACAUUAAGUCAUGCUCUACCAUUCACGCCGCUCUAGGUCUAUAAAAUAGUUCAACUAUCUCUUGGCCUAAUGCCUCAAUCAUAACCUUAUAUUCUUGCCUAUAGUUCCUAAGGGUGCAUACAGAAGGAGAUUCUAAAUCAAAGAGAAGAUUAAUAGUAGUAGGAGAGUAGUCAAUAUACUUACCACACACAUAGGAUUGAUAGGUAUCAUGCGCGCCAAAAUCAGCGUUGGUGUAGAAUUCUAAACCUAUGAUUUUGUUGGUUUCAUGAAUCAAACUAUUAAAACUUACCCAUCACCUUUGUUGAAGCAUUUCAAUCACUUCCUUACACCCUUGCACGUCCUCACUAGCGAAAGCCCUUUCUUUCAUAAUGUGGUAGUCCAACAUCUUGAGGUACUUCUCUGGAUGAACCUCAAAUAAGGACUUAUGAUUUGCUAGGUGGGAGUAGUUGAAGUGGGGGCAGCCCUUGAAGAAGAUCUGCAUACAACUCGUGCUCUUUUUGGUCCCACGGUUCCUAUAAAAAACACAGAGAAACAAAACACAGAGAGGAAACAAAAUAAAAAUAGUCUAAAUUGCUCAUAUAAAUAUGUAAGAAAGAGACAGAGAGAUAGCAUAUAAAAAGUUGUGAGGAAAAGAGAUUGAAUCAGACCCUAUAUAUAGUGCUUUUGAUCGUUGCUCAACGCACGCAUUAUGGAUGCACCACGCACGUGAUGGCAUUGACUCUUGUGUAACUUCUCUUUACAAUGGUCAUAUUGCGUGUUAUGGACUUAUCACAGACGUGAUGACAAUGGUACAUGGAGUCUCCCAAUGUCUAUAUCGCAUGCAUUAUACCCAUCGCAUGCGCGAUGCAGGACUAUCAUGCGCGUGAUAGCCUAGUGUCUCUUCUAGGAGGUUCCCAUAUUUUUUUCUUUCUUUCUCUUCUCAUCUUUUUUCCUUUCCGUUUACUUUUGUUUCUUUAUUCUACCCUGUUUUCCUUUCGACACAAUAACAAUAUGCAAACGUGACAUGUUACAAAAAAAUAUUUGACAGCAAAAUUCUAAAAAAUAAAUUAUUACUGAUGUGUUGCCUCCCAUCAAACGCUUGUUUUACGUCAUUAGCUUGACAAUACAUAAUACGUUACCUCAGGCGCAAGGGAUACCCUCAUGCUAGUCACUUUGCUUAUUCUUUGUCUUGUACCUCUCUCACUACCUCUUACCUCCUGAUGAUAGCUAAAGCUAGCGGAAAUAUACCCGAACGUAUCGCAUGCUCGAACAUACAAUAGAGUCGCCAUCAAAAUUUAUUUAUUCCAGAAGGAAAGGGAAAAUAUCGAUAAAACUCGGGGGAAAAAGAUAUGCUGGGUAAGGAAGUCGGUUAUGCAAGGGGAAGGUAUUGGCACCCUAAACAUCCAUGGUACUCCAUGGGAACCGUUUUGAUUGUUCUCGCUCGAAUAGGUGUUAUAUCUAAGAUUACUCGCAAAGAAUGGGAAAAGGAAAAGGAAAUAGAUAGAGUGCUCGGUGAGGAUUAGGGCCUUCAUGCCUGCGUAUCCUCAUAGUGCAAUGAGGAAUUCAGAGCUUCGUAGUUCAAGGAACUAGAAGCGGGAGAUGAACGGAAUUGUGAUCAAGGUAUGGUCUGAACCAAAGAAUAAUGUUGUUUUGAACUCCAACAAGGGGUGAAAAGAUGAACCCAAGAGUAAAUAGGUAUGAACCAACAAGUGAGGGCCUACAACGUUGUAUCACUGUAUUGGAACAACCAAAAAAGGGAGGAAUUAGGUGUUUGGGUUAAGGGCCAAAUAGCUCUUGGUUCACAAGGAGGUACAAGAUGGAGCACAAGGGUAUAGUGUAUUUGGCUCAAAGAAUAGGUAAAUCACGUGGAGUGAAUGAAGAUAGAAUAUGAGUGCAUCAUGGGAUGAACGGAGUGAAGUGACCGAAGUCACAAAAUAAGGGAACUUGGUAAUAAGUGACUGAAGAAGUAUUGUUUGAAAUCGAAAGGUGAAAGUAUAUUGGAAUCCAUAAGAGAAAUGAGAUUUCUACCAUAGAGGGAAACAACUUUUAACCUCUAUGUGGACUAGCAGGCCACCACUAUAGGGUGUUUAGCUAAAAAGAAGGAAUUAAGUGUUUGGGUUAAGGGCCAAACAACUCUAGGUAGAAAUGCGGACUAUGUGUUAGACGUCCUAAAAGAUUAUAUAUGGAAUGCCAAAGAAAGUGUAUUUCAAUGUCAAAGGGAUAGUAUGUCACUGGGUGAACGAUUUAUGAUCGAAGGUAGAGAAUGAAUAAUGAAAGAUAUGGAUGAUGCCCUAAGACGAAGGAGGAAUAAUUAGAAGUAUGCUCGCCAAGGAUUCGCAUCCUCGUGCCUACGUAUUCUCAUUGUGCAAUGAGAAAGUCAGAGCAAUCAUAGUUCGAAACUACGAGAACAGAGAGAGAGAGAGACAUUUGUCUAAGCAAUGGGGACUCACAAGACAAACACAUCUUCAAGGAAGGAUUGUGAUAUUGGAGUGUAAGGAGUAGUGUAUCACUUGCUGGGGAAUCAAUAAUUUGAGAUCAAAUCAGAGCAGUAUCUUGGAUCCAAGUAGGAGAUAAACUCUCAAUCGAAGAGCAAGGUAGGCAUUUACCAAUACGUGGACUAGAAGGCCGCCACUAUAAGGUAAAGCCAAAAAGAAAUACUAGAUUAAGUGUUUGAGGUUGUUUGCCCAAAUAACUCUAGGAUGAAGAGAUGGACUGUCAUUAGGACGUCCUAAAAGGAUAGAUAAGGAGUCCAAGGAGAAGUAUAGUUGAUCUCAAAAAUAUGGUAUAUAUUGAAUGAAUGGAGAAUGAUUGAUUGAUAAAUAGGGUAGCUCGCAAAGAAACCGGUUCUCCUGCCUACAUACCCUCAUUGUGCAAUGAGGAAAUCAGAGUUUUCGUAGUUCAGCCUACUAGGGUUGAAAACAAGAUGAUGGAGGCAAAAGAAUGUGUUGAAUGAUUGAAUUGGAAUGAUUAGACUUGAUAGUUGUAGAAUAAGAAUCACACUAAAGUCUAUGAGUAAAGGUGGAUACGAUAAGCAACGAGCCAAACGUCUCGCACCCAAAGAUAUCCAGAAUGAGUGUAGGAAAACUCCAGUCUCAUUUCUUCUUCACUACUUAAGGCUCAUGGCAUGUAACUCUCGUCCUAAACUUCAAGUGGAGAGAGAAGAGUCUUUAUAGUUGUUCUUGUAUUGAUGAAGACCUUAUCAAUCAUUCGACUUGAAUUGCACUAAAGCCUAUGAAUAAAGGUGAAUACGAUGAGCGUCAGGUCAUGCUUCCCAUACCCAAAGAUACUCAGAAUGGGGGUAGGAAUACUCCAGUCCCACUCCUUCUCUAUGUCUUAAGGCUCGUAUCUUACAACUUGAUUCAUGAUUGAUAAGUUGUUGACGUAGUCCUUGCUUGUUGCAUGAUGCUUUGUAGUGUGAAAGAGACUUGUCAAUCAUGUGAUUAGAAUUGUGCUAAAGUCUAUGAAUAGAGGUGAAUACGAUAAGCGCUGGGUCAUACGUCCCAUACCCAAAGAUAUUCAGAAUGGGGGUAGGAAUACUCCAGUCCCAUUCCUUCUCUAUUGCUUAAGGCUCGUGUCUCACUCUUCUAACUUCGAUUUAACAAGUUUUUGAAGAUGCCACCUUUGAUGUGCUUGGAUAAUCCACUUCUUGGUAUGAUUGAGGAUGCCUUGAUUGAUGAUCUUGUCUUGAGGCCUUGAGCUCCACAGCUUGGAAGAAAAGUCUCAUUAGGUGACCAAGGGUCUUUUGGUCACCCAAUCUAGACUGUGGGAUUAUACAAGUUCAAAGGAUUUAAUUAAUCAAAAUUUCUUUUGAUCAAUUUAACCAUGGGUUUUGUUUUGGUUUUAGGGAACUAGGUUUGGAUCUAAUCAAAGUUAGUAAUUGUUAGAAACUAUCCUAAGGGAUCAUGUAUUGAUUUAUUAAAAGUUGAUUGAAAAUUCUAUGUUAUAAGUCCUAAGGGAACAUGUACAUAUUGGUCAAAAUAUUGAUUAAAAGUCCUAGGUAUAAGUCCUAAAAUUGUAAGGAAAUGAUUAAAGUCUUAUGUCACAUUCUAAUCCCAAUGGGAUCAUGCCAUUCUAUCACUAAAAUAACAAAAAUAAGCCCAUAAAGGCAAAAUGGUCAUUUGUAAAAUCUGUCAAAUUCUAUGGUCUAAAGUUGAUUAAAUCCUAAUGUUGAUCCUAACCUAAUGUUGAGAAUGGGGUAAUUCUAAAUUUAAUCAAAGCCUAAUUGUUUCUAAUUAAACCUAAUCAAAAUUCCUAAUUAAAAAUCUAUGGAAAACUCCUAAUUAAAUUCUAAUAUCCUAAUGAAAAUCCUAAUAUGCUAAUGAUUAAGAUUUAAAUUCUAAUUAUCAAUGACUAACCUAAUUAAACUAAUAUUGUUCUAAUUAACCUAAUGAAAUUGUAAAAUAAACAAUUAAGAAAAUAAAAGAAAAAGUAAUUGAAUCAGGAGGUGUGAAAUGGAAAAUGAGGUAUACACUGCAUUUGGCUAUGGGCUACAGGAUGAGCCCAAUGCAAAUUUUUGGUACAACAAGCAAUGUCAAAAAAAAGGUGGUUUAUGAAACAAAAAUGAACUUGGGUUGCAUCUGAGCCCACUCAAUAUUUCAAACGCUCGGGGGGGGGGGGGGGACAACACAUUAAUGUAUGAUUCACUUCGUGACUCCACCACAGGUGCGCGUUGGAAACACAAGGUGAAUGGGCUUGGUUAAGCCCAAUUCUAUUUCUUUUCAAAGUCCUUGGGAGGUGUAUUAGUAAAGUGUAUGGUAUGAAAGGGAAAUCAGUGGGCCUAAUUGAACUAAGCCCAAACCUCACACCUCUGUUGACUUGUCUAAGUCAACAAAGUUUAAAUGAAUUCAAAUGCGUGCUCAACCUCACCUCUCCGUUCAUUAUAGUUCGCCGCGCCAGUGUCCGUCACCGACGCCGGUAGUAGCCUACAACUAGAAUCUCACCACCAAUGGAUGCACUAAGACAAGCUAAGCACAACUAUGGGAGUGGAAUUGGGAAUCGGUCACAGAAUUGGUUGAAUUGGACGGAUAAAUAGAAGAAACCUAACCUCCUACAAGUCAAAUUAAAUGGUGCUCGAUGCAAAUAAAACCCUAACACUAUGGGGCUUCUACUUCCCACCCUAAAUGCUACAUCCUGGUGUGCUCAAAACAAGAAAAUGCCACAUAAUGAAAAAUGACAUACCGGAGAAGAUGAUCGGAAAAAUUCACUGGUGAGUUCUUGAGCUUGAUUCUUUCUUCUUGUUUUUUCCUCUUCUUCUUCUUCUUCUGAGAUAGAGCAAUGAAAGUAAGGAUGCAGUGGCUUAGCUCAAGCAAGAUUGAAGCUUCGAUGUGAAGCUUCAAUGGCUUCUAAGAGAAAAUAGGGUUUUAAUUAGGGUGAGGGAAGAGAUUGCAAUAGAGAGAGAGCACAGGUUCAAGCAAAAAUCCAAGGGUGCUGAAAAUGUGAGUGAUGAGUUUCUUAAAUAGAGGCUAGGCUUGGAACUUGUUAGCUUUGGAUUUAGGUAUGGAGUUGGUUAAAUGUGGUUAGGAGUUAGUUGGACAUGACUCACUGAGUUAACUUAAAACCCAUUUGGUUAAUGAAAGGGAAACUCAGUUAGUUAUGUUAGUUUGAGUUGGCUAAUGAAUGAGUGAAAUGAAACUUGACUGGUUGUUGCAGGUUAGGAUUAGAUUGAGGUUAUCUUGGAAUGGUUUUUAAUAGCCUGCUGUUCAUGUUGCAGGUUAACCUUAAAUGACUUUGCUUUGUACUUUGAAAUGAUGAAUGUGAUCCUUUGCUCAUGCUUUGGUUCAAUGCUUCAUAAAUUAUUCCCACUGCUGGUAUUCAAAUCCUUACCCUCACUUGUUUCUUUUGCUGCAGCAUGAACUUGAAUGCAUUUGGCAUGUCAUGUUCAAACUAGGAAUAGAUAAGCAUGUUUUUUUUUUGUGUGCAAAGCUCAUGUUGAUUUUGGCCACUGCAGGAUACAGGGCCAAUGCACUUUGCUUCCUAAUUCAUGCCACAAAGCCAGUACAACAUAAUAACAAGUCCUGUAAGCCCAAUGUGUUGGUAGCUCCACUUGGUUUGUUGCAGACCUUGAGGUAUGUCUAAUUGUUGCGACUUAGUUAUAGCAGGCAUGAGUCCAAUGGGUGGAUUUUGAUUGUGGAAAUUGUAGCUGGUGUGUAGUGCCAUACCCCGAUUUUGACCCUGAAUUUUUUCCAUUUUUUUUCAUUUUUUAUUUGGCACUUGGCCUAAAGUUCAUUUGCAUACAUUCAUUCCCAAAUCCAUAUUUUGUGAUAAACAUUGGUUAUUAUUUUUGUAUAAUAAAAAAACAUAAACAUAAAAUAAAAUGCUAAAAGAAAAUAAAUGCUAAAGAAAAAUAAAAUGCUAAAAGAAAAUAAAUGCUAAAAGAAAUAAAAUGCUAAGGGCGGGGUAUCGAACCCACUACACUAAAGACCAUAGAAACCACCCUCUCCACCAGACCACUCAUGACUAGUUUAUAUUUUGAUGCUGGAUUGGAUAAAUAAACUAAAUGGAUUAGAAAUUAGAAUUAAAAUAAAAAACUAAUAAGAGAAAAUCUGUUGGACUACCCUAAUUAACCCAGCCGCUUGGCUGUUGGGUUUUCAAUGGGUAUAAAUUGAAAAAUAUAAAAACAAUUAUUAACUAAUAACCUAGGAAUUUUAAACAAAAUCUUUAAUGUUUUCAAAACUAUUCUGUUUAAAAAAUAAAUUAAAGAAAAGAAAAUAAGGAAAAAAAUGCAUAGACAACUUCCGUCUCUCUCACACUGCGCUUCUCACAACUUCAAACACCAUCAACCUCACUUCUCUCUCACGCUCUCAACAAAAACUCAAUCAAUCGCUCUCAGCGAAUCGCUCCCCCAUCGCUCCCUUGCCGUACUCGCUCUCAAUCUUCAUCUCUCAAAUCUCCAUCAUUCAUCCUCAACCUUCACUUUUUCCAAAAUCAAUCUCUCGACUCUCUCACUAUCAAAAGCCUUAAAACUUUAUUUCCUCAAAUCAUCAACUAAAAAAACUAAUUCCUACACUUCCAACAACAAAGCACAUGAAAGGAUAAAAGGAGGAAGGAAAAAUUCUCACAAGGUUUCACGGCGGUGGUGAAGGCGUGAAGAAGUUGUUUCGUUUUGAGUUUUUUCGCCUCCAAGUUUUUUGUUGUCCUCGAUUCCUGAUUCUCUUCUCUCCUUUUAUGGCUACAGAUUAGGGUUUUCGGAUUUGUACUCAAAAGCUCAAAGAAGAAAAUUCCAGAAGUCUUUUGAUGCUCAGAAAUUGGACUACCUUCUUUGAUGCUUGGCCUUGGAAAGGUAAUCUGAACCACGCUUUCUCCAAUUGUUUUGCUGGAUGCCAAAUUGGGAAUUCUUUGAAAUUUUACUGCUUGUAAUUAUUUUGCAGCUUUGGUUGUCACAGGGUUCUGGAUCGGUGAGGAUGAAGAGACGGGCUCACUGUUGAAGUUCCGCAUCCCUCGACCACCAUUGUUCCAAACCAUGAGCCUCGAGAAUUUCUGUUUUUCCUUCGACACAACUAACAGUUUUGCCGUAAUUUGUCCGCCAACAUUCUCUUUGUCAACAAACUUCUCUGCUGUGCCGAUAGGAUCAUUGUAAUAGCAACAUAUGUAGUCACUAUCGUUAUCAUAACAAAUGUGGAAUCCAUUUUCCAUGCCAACAACAGCGCUAGGAUCCUUCAACCAUAACCAUAUAACCGAGACAUCCAACUCUUCGAUUCGACAAACAUGGUCUUUUCCACAUCACUGCUAACUUGAGCUUUCCCGUCCAUAAGGAAUUAUAGAUUAACUCUACUCCAUGCAUAUCCGGCCUUUUCUCCAAGAUUUUGAGACUCAUGGCUAGUGAAGCAGGCGGUGGAUUAAACAAAUGCGCCUCCACAUAGAUUCCUUGUUUUGCUAAUUGUUUUGUUGUUUUUUUUUUUUUUUACUGCAGUGAACUCGGUGAGCUUGGUUUGAUUUUGACAAGCUUGGUAAUGUUGGUUGCAAGCUUGGGAUAGAGCCUAUUUGCUCAUGCUCAUAGCAGAUUGGACAACAAGCCUGCGGCUUUAGCUUCAAGGUACGUCACCACCCUUCAUGGCUUGGAAGUGAUAAUGUUUUCUGCUAGUUGUGCCCUUGUGUAUGCUUGUCUUGCUUACACUUUUGAUACGUUCUGCAGGUUUACAACUAUGUAUGUGGGUGACGAUGACUAGCUGCAUAAGUUUGGUUCGAAUGCAGCCCGGGUUGCUGGGAAUUUCAGGUGACUUGAAGGUGAUGUUAGCAUGAGCGGAAACUACGACUUACACUUGAAAAACGUGGUUGUUUGUAGACUUGAUGGUCAAGAUGCGGUUUUGUGAAUCAUGGGUCGAAUUGCGAUUUGGACAUUGCGAACCCGCCGUGAGUAAGUGAGUUUUGUUAAAAGAAUGUAGAUGGAAUUUAAGAAUGAUUGUAAUCUUUUUUUUUGACUGCUAUGAGUUUUUCUGCAACAAGUUGUUGUCGGUGCCAUGUUCUUUAUUGUUUGUUGCAGGUUGUGGACGAGGUUGCAAGCAUGUUGAUGAAGGAGUACCGGCAGCAGGUGCAGCCACAUGAGCGGCUGUGUUUUAGUAGCUUCUGCAUGAUGCUGCAAUGUCAUUGCUUGACUGGAUGGCUGGAUAUUGCAUGACUGGAUGGCUGGAUCAUCUACAAUUGUUGUUGAAGCUGGGAGAAGGUUUUGUUUUGUGUAGGUUUGGUGAGUUGAAGGAUUUGCUGAUGGGUUGUAUUAUUCUCAUGACAGUUGGAACUCUUGGAGCAAUUGUACAUGGAUGACCCAAGAUGCUGUUAAGUAUGCGUUUUACUUUCUGAUUGUCGGUGCUGUUAUUGGGAAUAUCAUGGGCAGAGAUUUCUUGUUGGAUGUGGACGGGUGGUCUUGUGCAUGAUGAUGGUGGAGGGUGACAGUGUAGGAAAAGGUUGAAGAGUUUUUUUUCUGUUGUGGAAAUUUUUCCUCCAUAUUUCCUUUUAAUCCAACCAAUUAUUGUAAUAUGUAUUAGUCAAUUAGGAUGUAAUAAGUUGUAAUAGUAUUUAGCUUAUGUAAAAUGAUUCACACAAUGCCAAAUUUCAUGUAAUGCAAUGCAUAUGGACAUGUUUAUGGGGAUCAUGCUUGUUAUAAAAAAUGGAUAUGGAUUUUAGAAAUAAUCUGAGACUAAUCAAAAUGUCAAUUUAAAAUCAAAAAAACCAAAUAAACCAAUUAAAAUCAAUUAAUCUAUAAUUCGUUAAAAUUACUUUGAUAUCAACUCUAACAUUAUUUGGAAAUUAAAAAUCAAUUAGAGUUUGAAUCAUUAGUAAAAACACAAUUAAGAUUAACUUGAAAUUUGAAAUUAGAUUUACUUUGAAAUUAAAUUAAAAUUGAAAACUAAAAUCAAAUAACUAAAUCCAUUUUGUAAUCACAAAGCACCAUGAUCAAAAAGCUAAAUAAUAACNNNNNNNNNNNNNNNNNNNNNNNNNGGGAGAAAACAAAACACUCUGAGGUUUCCUUUGAACAAAACCCUGAGGAAAAAGAUGAGUUGAGAGAAGACCGAACAGAGGAAUUCAGAGCAGCCUCCAAACCCUGAAGGGACUCAACUUGUAAACCUCACCGGGUGCAACUCAAUUCAAUCAAGCUCUCACAAUCAGGGUUUGCCAAUAUAGCCAUCAUCUUUUAUGCCUUUAAUUUGAGAUGCUCUAAAUGUAUGAGGUAUUAUGGGUGAAUUUGAUACCUUUUUGUGAGCCCUUUUGUGUGAAUGUUUGAUGGAAUUAGUUCAUGUGGUUACAUUUUGUUUAGGGGGCAAACUCUGGGUUACCCUAUUUUGUUUAGUCUAACCUGUCUUGUGUUUCCAUGGCAUUGUUUUUCUCUGAUUUAUCCUGCUGCCUAACCCUUUCAAAAUCCCCCUUUGUUCUGUCUUCUUUCUCUCACUAUCUUUUUCCAGUGAAUCUCCCAGUGUAACUCCAAGUGUCACUCCUCUACUGAAACUUCAGUAUUUAUAGACUGAUUUUCGUGGGUAAUGAGCUCAAAUGAGGGAGACCCAAGUCCAAAAUAAUUUGUUAUAUUUUAUUUAUUUAUUUUAUUCAUUUAAUUAAUUAAUUAAUUAAUUAAAUAUUUUUUUUUCGCUUUUUUUUGUUUUUUUUUGCUUUUUUUUGUUUUUUUUGUUUUUUUUUUCAGGAAAAAUGAAGGGUAAAUUUUGGGGUAUUACAAUACCCCAUUGAAAACCCAACAGCCAAGCGGCUGGGUUAAUUAGGGUAGUCCAACAGAUUUCUCUUUAUUAGUUUUUUUUUUAUUUUAAUUCUAAUUUCUAAUCCAUCUUAGUUUAUUUAUCCAAUCCAGCAUCAAAAUAAUAACUAGUCAUGAGUGGUUUGGUGGAGAGGGGUGGUUUCUAUGGUCUUUAGUGUAGUGGAUUCGAUACCCGCAAUGAGCAUUUUAUUUCUUUUAGCAUUUAUUUUCUUUUAGCAUUUUAUUUUCUUUUAGCAUUUUAUUUUCUUUUAGCAUUUUAUUUUAUGUUUAUGUUUUUAUUAUACUCAUGGUUGAUCUGCUUUCUUAAGGAUCGCAACGAGGGCGAAAGCAAACAAGGAUUAGUUGUUAGUUGUUAGUCAAACUCGGCAAGACAUCACAUCUUGUGCCUACGUAUCUCAUCUGAACAUGAGAAUCAGAGUUGCCCGUAGUUCGGCUACCUAUGGGUUAAAGAGGAGUGGUGCUCACUAAGACAUCGCGUCUUAUGACCUACGUAUCUCAUCUGGAAUGAGAAUCCGAGCAAACCGUAGUUCGGCUAACUAACGGGAACAAAAGUCUCGAUUGCAACUAGGGCAAGAGAAAGGAAAGUCUCGAUCGGCAAUGAGGGCGAAAACAAACAAAGAUUAGUUGUUAGUUGUCAGUCUAACUCGGCAAGACCUCGCAUCUUGUGCCUACGUAUCUCAUCUGAACAUGAGAAUCAGAGUUGCCGUAGUUCGCCCUACAUAGGGAUUGCCAUCUGAACAUGGACUUACAAAGGAGGACACUAGUUGUGUCAAAGGAGAGUGGGCAAUGUGUUCACGUCCUAACAGUAGGUGUCGCAGCUCGCUGAAUCGAGUCUUAGGCAGUUACCUCUUUGCAAUAGAUGGAUUGACAUGCCACAAGAUCGGAGACCACGGAAGGUCUAAAAGAAAUGGGGAAGUUUGCCCUAGAGUUGUCAUGCAAUAUGUACUUAAGUGUUUAGAUUUACAAAUGGGAAUAUCUACCUAAUGUUAGCAUGCAAAGAAUAUGGAACCCUACCUAUGUUAUCAUACAAAAUGAUAUGGGAAUCCUACUAUGUUAUCAUACAAAAGGAUAUGGAACUUACCUAUGUUUAUCAUACAAAAGGAUAUGGGAAUCCUACCUAUGUUAUCAUACAAAGGGUUCUAUCUAAUGGGUGCUACCUAAUCGGAACCAGAAUUGACGAGUGGAGCAAGAGAAAGUGUUAGGGAAUAAGGGUAGAUGGCGAUGCAUGAAGCAAUCGACUUACAAGGUUGAUGGCGAUGCAUAAAGCAAUCGACUUACAAGGUUGAUGGCGAUGCAUAAAGCAAUCGACUUAACAAAAGGGUGGUGAAUACGUGCUGUUUCUGUUAGGUUUUGAAAAAUGAUUACUCGACGUUGGAUCGAGGUUUUGAUCUUGCUUUGAAAUGGUUAUCGAAUGUUCAUUUAAUUCUUGUAUUAACAGAUGAAUAAAGAAUGAAAAAAUAAAUAUAUACAUUUCAUGGGAGAGGGAUACAUUUGUUAUGAAUGGGGUUGUCAAAUCAUGAAAUAAUUAAAUCGGGCCCAAACGACAAAAUAAUGCGAAAUAUGAGUGUAAGUGCAAGAGAACCGGAUCAUUGUAAGAAAGCCGAAGUAAGCUUAUGUGAGAUUGAUGGCGAUGCUUAAAAAGCAAUCGACUUACAAGGGUGGGAAGAUGGGCCGNNNNNNNNNNNNNNNNNNNNNNNNNNNNNNNNNNNNNNNNNNNNNNNNNNNNNNNNNNNNNNNNNNNNNNNNNNNNNNNNNNNNNNNNNNNNNNNNNNNNNNNNNNNNNNNNNNNNNNNNNNNNNNNNNNNNNNNNNNNNNNNNNNNNNNNNNNNNNNNNNNNNNNNNNNNNNNNNNNNNNNNNNNNNNNNNNNNNNNNNNNNNNNNNNNNNNNNNNNNNNNNNNNNNNNNNNNNNNNNNNNNNNNNNNNNNNNNNNNNNNNNNNNNNNNNNNNNNNNNNNNNNNNNNNNNNNNNNNNNNNNNNNNNNNNNNNNNNNNNNNNNNNNNNNNNNNNNNNNNNNNNNNNNNNNNNNNNNNNNNNNNNNNNNNNNNNNNNNNNNNNNNNNNNNNNNNNNNNNNNNNNNNNNNNNNNNNNNNNNNNNNNNNNNNNNNNNNNNNNNNNNNNNNNNNNNNNNNNNNNNNNNNNNNNNNNNNNNNNNNNNNNNNNNNNNNNNNNNNNNNNNNNNNNNNNNNNNNNNNNNNNNNNNNNNNNNNNNNNNNNNNNNNNNNNNNNNNNNNNNNNNNNNNNNNNNNNNNNNNNNNNNNNNNNNNNNNNNNNNNNNNNNNNNNNNNNNNNNNNNNNNNNNNNNNNNNNNNNNNNNNNNNNNNNNNNNNNNNNNNNNNNNNNNNNNNNNNNNNNNNNNNNNNNNNNNNNNNNNNNNNNNNNNNNNNNNNNNNNNNNNNNNNNNNNNNNNNNNNNNNNNNNNNNNNNNNNNNNNNNNNNNNNNNNNNNNNNNNNNNNNNNNNNNNNNNNNNNNNNNNNNNNNNNNNNNNNNNNNNNNNNNNNNNNNNNNNNNNNNNNNNNNNNNNNNNNNNNNNNNNNNNNNNNNNNNNNNNNNNNNNNNNNNNNNNNNNNNNNNNNNNNNNNNNNNNNNNNNNNNNNNNNNNNNNNNNNNNNNNNNNNNNNNNNNNNNNNNNNNNNNNNNNNNNNNNNNNNNNNNNNNNNNNNNNNNNNNNNNNNNNNNNNNNNNNAAAUAAUUAAAUCGGCCCAAACGACAAAAUAAUGCGAAAUAUGAGUGUAAGUGCAAGAGAACCGGAUCAUUGUAAGAAAGCCCAAGAGUAAGCGUAUGUGAGAUUGAUGGCGAUGCUUAAAAAGCAAUCGACUUACAAGGGUGUGGAAAUGGGCUCGACAUUGAAUCGAGAAAAAUAUGAUUUUUAUAGUUUUAAAAUGGUUUGAAUGAAUGAUGAAGUUAAUCUCUCGCCCUCGUUGCGAUCGAGACUUUCCUUUUUCUCUUGCCCUAGUUGCAAUCGAGACCCUUGUUCCCGUAGUUAGUUGAACUACGUUUUUGCUCUGAUUCUCAUUCCCGAUGAGAUACGUAGGUAUAAGACGCGAUGUCUUAGAGAGCACACUUAUCCUUAACCCCUAGGUAGCCGAGCUACGAAGACUCUGAUUCUCAUAUUCAGAUGAGAUACGUAUGCAAUGGAUGCGACAUUCGUGCGAGUCAUUUUCUUUUGACCCUUUCCUUUUUUAGCAAAUAGUACAUUAGAUGUACCCACACCCUUUAGACAAGAACAACAAGAGUGGAUCCCGUAGAGUACUACGGAUGCUUAAGGGGUGCUAAUACCUUCCCUUCGCAUAAUCGACUCCCGAACCCAAGAUUUGGUUGCAAGACCUUGUCUUUUCCUUUCCUUUCCCCGAGUUUACUUCGAGCGUUUCCUUUCCCUCCUUUGGGAUAAAUAACGCACGGUGGCGACUCUUCUGUCAUUUCUUUUUCGCCGGUUGUCUUUUCGCAUUUCCCCUUUUUCAGGUUGCGACAUGUAGUCAUAGGUGAAGCAAGAGCAGGUCAUGUGAAGCAAGACAUUGGCUCCAUAAUGUAGGUGCCUUAUGGCUGCUGUUGAUGAUGAUGACAUGAUGAGUUUGAUAGUUCCAUUACAGUUUAGGACAAUGGUAUGGAGUUUCCCACUGCAGGGUCUUGCUUACAACAGCUGGCCUGCUCCUUUCACUUUAUUCUCUCACUGAACUAAUGUCGUGAUGAUUGGUGUGGUAAGAUGCCCAUUUGGCUUGCUUUUUGUUGAGAUAGCUUGGUGCCUCUCAUGGGAUAUCUGUCCUUGGUUCAAAUAAUGUCUUAACAGGUUAGUAGGCUUACAAAUAUCCACCAGUCUAAUUAUGUUUCAAGGCUUGUGUUUUGGCAUUCAGCUUGGUGACAACUCUUUGAUCAUAGGCCAGUUGCAACAGGUUGAUGGCAUAUUGUCCCAAACUCCAACCUGGCCAAUGUUCCUAUAGUAGGUGAGAUCCUUCCUGGUUUUGCUUUAUGCUGCAUGACAGGAGCUUGCAUUCACUGGCCAACCUCAAUAUGAUUUUGUACUUGGUAGGUUAAUUUUAUAUUGUAGCACAGUAGGCAUUUGUGGUCUUGCAACAUGGUUCCACAAUGUUUAGCCUGGGCUAUACUGCAAGUUACUUGUUGUGUUCAUGAUGGUCUUGAUGUACAAUCUUGGUAAUGGCUUUGUUAGUGUAGGACUGAGUCUACAGCAGGAUGUUUUGCAAUGUAUUAGUAGGCCUUUGGAUGCACAUCUGCUGGUGGAAACCUCAUGCUGCAGGACCUUCAUGCCUUGGUCGAGUUCAGAUGUGUGCCUAGUCUUGUAGCAGGGUUUUUGUCCUGGUUCAAAUUCAUGUGCUGCAUAACUAAAUUGUAGGAGGUUAUAUUGAUUGUUAUGGUUUUCUAGGAUUUGGAUGAACUGAUAUUUGAAUUGACUAUGUUACAGGUAUGUGCGUUAGGUUCAUUAUGUGUCAUGACUGAGUUGUUUGAAUGGCUUCACUGCAGGUUGCAAGGGUUUGGUUUAUGAUUGGCAUGUGGUUUGGACUUGGAUCAUGGCAUGGUGUAGUAAGUUUUGUUCUGAAUUGGCUCAGAUUGCAAGUUGGUUGUAGCUUUAUUGCAGUAGGCUUACCUAUACUUUGGCUCAUGUUGCUGAUUGGUUGCAGGAUGGUACAUUGCUAGUAGGACUUGGCUUGAUCCUACAAAAUGAUCAUGGUGGAGGUUGGUGAUGCUUCCUUGUUCAUGCUUAGAUGGCUUGAUGCAUAAGGUUUUUGUUGCAUUGCGCUGGUUCCAUAACCUUUUAGCAGGUCUAAGUUUAUGUGACAGGCUCAUUAGUUCAUUUCUGACUUGGUGUUUUGUAGGUUUGUGGAAAUGAACAUGAUAUUUGU
rnacentral:lncRNA from 1 species